ACAGAGGGUGCGAGCGUUAAUCGGAAUUACUGGGCGUAAAGCGCGCGUAGGCGGCUUUGCAAGUCGGGUGUGAAAUCCCCAGGCUUAACCUGGGAACUGCGUUCGAGACUGCAUUGCUAGAGUAUGGGAGAGGGAAGUGGAAUUUCCGGUGUAGCGGUGAAAUGCGUAGAUAUCGGAAGGAACAUCUGUGGCGAAGGCGACUACCUGGACCAGCACUGACACUGAGGCACGAAAGCGUGGGGAGCAAACAGGA
rnacentral:rRNA from 1 species